CAUCUUAGAUAUCUGGUGGCAAUGUAACAACACAUUUAAGUUGUAUGUUGGCAAUGCACCCAUACAUUUGAGACUUCUUGUGGCAAAGUACAGCACAUCUUGAUGUAUAGUGGCAAUGUAACAACACAUCUUAAGUGUUGUGUGGCAAUGUAGCAACAUAUCUUAGAUUUUGAAUGACAAUGUAACAACACAUCGUAGUUUUUGGAGGCAAUGUUACAUCACAUCUUAGUUGUCUAAUGGCAGUUUAAUAACAC
rnacentral:lncRNA from 1 species